UACAGAGGUCCCAAGCGUUGUUCGGAUUCACUGGGCGUAAAGGGUGCGUAGGUGGUUGGUUAAGUUUGAUGUGAAAUCUCCGGGCUUAACCCGGAAAUGGCAUUGAAUACUAUUCGACUGGAGGGUUGGAGGGGGGACUGGAAUUCUCGGUGUAGCGGUGAAAUGCGUAGAUAUCGAGAGGAACACCAGUGGCGAAGGCGAGUCCCUGGACAACUCCUGACGCUGAGGCGCGAAAGCGAGGGGAGCAAACAGG
rnacentral:rRNA from 1 species